rnacentral:rRNA from 1 species
UGAGUAACCUGCCCUUAACUCUGGGAUAAGCCUGGGAAACUGGGUCAAUACCGGAUAUGACUCCUCAUCGCAUGGUGGGGGGUGGAAAGCUUUAUUGUGGUUUUGGAUGGACUCGCGGCCUAUCAGCUUGUUGGUGAGGUAAUGGCUCACCAAGGCGACGACGGGUAGCCGGCCUGAGAGGGUGACCGGCCACACUGGGACUGAGACACGGCCCAGACCUCCGUACGGGGAGCAG